AUACGGAGGGUGCAAGCGUUGUCCGGAUUUAUUGGGUUUAAAGGGUGCGUAGGUGGUUUUUUAAGUCAGUGGUGAAAGCCUACAGCUUAACUGUAGAGGUGCCAUUGAAACUGGAAGACUUGAGUAUGGACGAGGUAGGCGGAAUUUGUGGUGUAGCGGUGAAAUGCAUAGAUACCACAAAGAACACCGAUAGCGAAGGCAGCUUACUGGACCAUAACUGACACUGAGGCACGAAAGCGUGGGGAGCGAACAGGAUUAGAUACCCUAGUAGUCC
rnacentral:rRNA from 1 species